AGAGGCGCGGGUGUUCGGCUGCGUCACUGGGGCGCUAUGGUGCCUGGAGCUGGGCAGUUUUCUCGUCAGAGUGGGGACUGAUGAUGAUUAUUCCCCACCUUCUAAGAGACAAAGACCAACGAGCCACCACAGCCACCAGUCCCAGAACCCGCCAAUGCUGGGGAACGGAAAAUGAGGGAGUUCAACUCUGAGAAAUGGAAUCAUCGUAUCGCUGAUCUACGUAAACAAACUGAAGAAUUGUCUGAAAGAAAAUAUGACAUGAACUUAUGAAUUCAACAGGUGAAGAUUUACAACUUGAUAAAUCAACUUUGUGAGCUCGAGCUGUAAAAGCCAAAGGUCUGGUGAUGAUCCCAUACCCUUUUUUCCAGUCUCAUGUUGAAGAUUUUUAUGUAGAAGGCCUUCCCAAA
rnacentral:lncRNA from 1 species